GCNUGNNGGCUACCAUGCAGUCGAGCGGNGGAGGUAGCUUGCUACCGGACCUAGCGGCGGACGGGUGAGUAAUGCUUAGGAAUCUGCCUNUUAGUGGGGGACAACAUCUCGAAAGGGAUGCUAAUACCGCAUACGUCCUACGGGAGAAAGCAGGGGAUCUUCGGACCUUGCGCUAAUAGAUGAGCCUAAGUCGGAUUAGCUAGUUGGUGGGGUAAAGGCCUACCAAGGCGACGAUCUGUAGCGGGUCUGAGAGGAUGAUCCGCCACACUGGGACUGAGACACGGCCCAGACUCCUACGGGAGGCAGCAGUGGGGAAUAUUGGACAAUGGGGGGAACCCUGAUCCAGCCAUGCCGCGUGUGUGAAGAAGGCCUUAUGGUUGUAAAGCACUUUAAGCGAGGAGGAGGCUACUUUAGUUAAUACCUAGAGAUAGUGGACGUUACUCGCAGAAUAAGCACCGGCUAACUCUGUGCCAGCAGCCGCGGUAAUACAGAGGGUGCGAGCGUUAAUCGGAUUUACUGGGCGUAAAGCGUGCGUAGGCGGCUUAUUAAGUCGGAUGUGAAAUCCCCGAGCUUAACUUGGGAAUUGCAUUCGAUACUGGUGAGCUAGAGUAUGGGAGAGGAUGGUAGAAUUCCAGGUGUAGCGGUGAAAUGCGUAGAGAUCUGGAGGAAUACCGAUGGCGAAGGCAGCCAUCUGGCCUAAUACUGACGCUGAGGUACGAAAGCNUGGGGGAGCAAACAGGAUUAGAUACCCUGGUAGUCCAUGCCGUAAACGAUGUCUACUACCCGUUGGGGCCUUUUGAGGCUUUUAGUGCGCAGCUACGCGAUAAGUAUACCGCCUGGGNGAGUACGGUCGCAGACUAAANUUCANAUGAAUUGAU
rnacentral:rRNA from 1 species